rnacentral:tRNA from 1 species
GAUUGUAUAGCGCAAUGGAUUAGCACGUCUGACUUCGGAUUAGAAAGUUGUGAGUUUGACUUCCACCGUGAUCA